rnacentral:rRNA from 1 species
AUUGAACGCUGGCGGCAGGCCUAACACAUGCAAGUCGAGCGGAUGAAGGGGACUUGCUCCUGGCUUCAGUGGCGGACGGGUGAGUAAUGCCUAGGAAUCUGACUGGCCGAGGGGGCUGACGUCACGACACGGGAGCUAAUACCGUAUACGUCGAGAGGGUGAAAGGGGUGGAUCUUAGGUCAUAAAGCUACCAGAUGAGACUAGGUCGGAUUAGCUAGUUGGUGAGGUAAAGGCCUACCAAGGCGACGAUCCGUAGCCGGUCUGAGAGGCUGAUCAGUCACACUGGAACUGAGACACGGUCCAGACUCCUACGGGAGGCAGCAGUGGGGAAUAUUGGACAAUGGGCGAAAGCCUGAUGCAGCCAUGCCGCGUGUGUGAAGAAGGUCUUCGGAUCGUAAAGCACUGUUAUUUGGGAGGAAGAGCAGUAAGAUUAUACCUGGCUAUUUUGACGUUACCAACAGAAUAAGCACCGGCUAACUUCGUG